GCCCCCGUCGUUUAAUCGGCAGGACGCCCGCGCUGGACGCAGCGAGAUACGGGAAGUGGAGGUUCAAAUCCUCUCGGGGGCA
rnacentral:tRNA from 1 species